GGCGGACGGGUGAGUAAUGUAUAGUUAAUCUGCCCUUUAGAGGGGGAUAACAGUUGGAAACGACUGCUAAUACCCCAUACUCCUUUUAUCUUAAUGAUAAUUGGGAAACGUUUUUUCGCUAAAGGAUGAGACUAUAUGGUAUCAGGUAGUUGGUGGGGUAAGAGCCUACCAAGCCUAUGACGCCUAGCUGGUCUGAGAGGAUGAUCAGCCACACUGGAACUGAGACACGGUCCAG
rnacentral:rRNA from 1 species